UUCUGAGCCAUUUGAUUCAGGGUUUUGAAAUUCUAUUUGUACCCUUCAGAUCAUCCACUUCUCACCAUAUCGGCCCCUACAUCUUCCUCAACCAUCAAAACUGAACCAAAAUAGAACCUCUCACCAUCACCCGCAACUCGACACUCUCCUCCUCCUCCUCCGCUCUCCAUCGCCCCUGUCAUCACCUUCCAUGUCUUCAUCUUCCUCAGCCCUUCGAAGCCACACCAGUGAGCUAAAGGCCACCAGCACCGCCCUUACCAGUACUCAACGCCUUCAUGGACAUCAUCCUCCUCUUACAGACUUCGGCUUCCUUCCAAUCAAAACCAGAAAACCCAUUUCCCUCUCCAUCAGCUCCCUUUAUCUCAAUCUCUCCUCUCCAUUGACAGACCCAUUUUCCCUAAACACCAGUAUCCAUUUGCAUCCUUCCGCGGACCCACGGUAACUCACACCGGCUCAUCCCUCGGCAUUCACAAGCUGCUUUUUCUCCAUCUCUCCUCGAUUCCCUCUCGCGAAAAACCCAUUUCAGUAUCUCCUUUUCUUUUCAAUUUCAAGUUCCAGUGGUCUCAACAGAGGUGAAUCUGACGACGUCCGCGCCUCCCCAUCUCUCGAUCGAAAUGACCAAAAGUGCCUCACGAGAUACAGGUGCCGUCUUCAUCAACAUAGCAGCUCGACUUCCUCGUCACGGCAACUCUCGGACCCUGUCACACCACAGACGCACAUUGCGCCAAAGCACCGAAACUGGACAGAAACUUCACGCUCAAGCAAGGACAGAGUUCAUUGGUGUUUAAGAUGUCGAUUUGGUAAAUGGGCCAUUGAUGCAUGGUAGCAAUAGAGAGCAUUGUGCACACCAUAGUGAAUUUUACUAUUGGUGAGAAACUUUCCUGAUAGUCAAUGCUGGAUUGUUGGACAUGUUCCUUGGCUACCAUAUAAGCUUGUGAUCCACAAAUCUAUUUGAUUUGCGCUUGAUUCGAAAAAGCCAUUUGUUGCCGAUUAUGUUUUUGUUUGGAGGAUGGAGAACAAGAAUCCAUGUGUGAUUUAGGACCGCAUUUAACUCUUCCUACAUAGAAGAGUGUGAUUCUUGAACAAUCUUUGCUUAUGUAAUUGUUUUAGGUUUAAUACGAAAAUAAUUCUGUUUUGUUUGAGCUA